rnacentral:rRNA from 1 species
UGGGGAAUAUUGGACAAUGGGGGAAACCCUGAUCCAGCGACGCCGCGUGUGUGAAGAAGGCCUGCGGGUUGUAAAGCACUUUUAGUGGGGAUGAAAAGUUCAGGGUUAACACCUCUGGAUCUUGACCUAACCCACAGAAAAAGCACCGGCUAACUCUGUGCCAGCAGCCGCGGUAAUACAGAGGGUGCAAGCGUUAAUCGGAAUUACUGGGCGUAAAGCGUGCGUAGACGGUUACAUAAGUCGGGUGUGAAAGCCCCGGGCUCAACCUGGGAAUUGCAUUCGAGACUGUGUAGCUAGGGUACGGAAGAGGGAAGCGGAAUUUCAGGUGUAGCGGUGAAAUGCGUAGAUAUCUGAAGGAACACCAGUGGCGAAAGCGGCUUCCUGGUCCAGUACCGACGUUCAGGCACGAAAGCGUGGGGAGCAAACA